rnacentral:ncRNA from 1 species
CCAAAACAUAGGAUCAGAACAAGUACUCCUCGAUCAUUUCCUGACAGAGAUUUCUUCAUUUGCUGAAAGAAGAAACUGGAAACCGUUGACGAACACAUCUGAUUUGUCAGUUUCUGAAGUCAGUAAGAAGCUGCGGUAUUCUCCGUUAUCAGAAAAGAGUUUUUAAACAGCAUAAAACUCUAUGAGGUCAAUAUUGUGAGAUAUUGAUAAAUUGAGGUGGAACCACGUAUUUUCGUCCUCUUG